GCAAGUCGAGGGGUAACAGGAAAGCUUGCUUUUGCUGACGACCGGCGCACGGGUGCGUAACGCGUAUAGAACCUACCUUUUACAGGGGGAUAGCCUUUAGAAAUGAAGAUUAAUACCUCAUAGUUCCUUAGAUUCUCCUGAAUUUAAGGGUAAAGAUUUAUCGGUAAAAGAUGGCUAUGCGUCCUAUUAGCUAGAUGGUAAGGUAACGGCUUACCAUGGCAAUGAUAGGUAGGGGUCCUGAGAGGAGAUC
rnacentral:rRNA from 1 species